ACGUCUACAUGGCCAACGCAGGUAAAAAUGUCGUAUCUGUUCUGUACAGCUUAAUAUCUGAUACGGGUUGUAUUUGGACGGAAGAUAUUAAACUAAUUUUUGCAACAUGGCGGAGAGUUUAAAGCCUGCUUCGCCUCCGCCGCGGUCCGCCCGGUAUGCGCUAUAUUCGGAAUUGGUGCCAAGAUGA